CACCUACGGGUGUGAAGUCAUUGAUGCCAUGCUUCCAGGAAAAGCCUCUAAGCUUCAGAUUGUAAGGAAUCGUACCCCAAACCGACACAGGUGGUCGGGUAGAGAAUACCAAGGCGCUUGAGAGAACUCGGGUGAAGGAACUAGGCAAAAUGGUACCGUAACUUCGGGAGAAGGUACGCUCUUGAUGGUGAAGUCCCUCGCGGAUGGAGCUGAUGAGAGUCGCAGAUACCAGGUGGCUGCAACUGUUUAUUAAAAACACAGCACUGUGCAAAAUCGUAAGAUGACGUAUACGGUGUGACGCCUGCCCGGUGCCGGAAGGUUAAUUGAUGGGGUUAGCGUAAGCGAAGCUCUUGAUCGAAGCCCCGGUAAACGGCGGCCGUAACUAUAACGGUCCUAAGGUAGCGAAAUUCCUUGUCGGGUAAGUUCCGACCUGCACGAAUGGCGUAAUGAUGGCCACGCUGUCUCCACCCGAGACUCAGUGAAAUUGAAAUCGCUGUGAAGAUGCAGUGUACCCGCGGCUAGACGGAAAGACCCCGUGAACCUUUACUACAGCUUGGCACUGAACAUUGAACCUACAUGUGUAGGAUAGGUGGGAGGCUUUGAAGACGUGACGCUAGUUGCGUUGGAGCCGUCCUUGAAAUACCACCCUUGUAUGUUUGAUGUUCUAACUUAGCCCCGUUAUCCGGGGUGAGGACAGUGCCUGGUGGGUAGUUUGACUGGGGCGGUCUCCUCCCAAAGAGUAACGGAGGAGCACGAAGGUGGGCUAAUCACGGUUGGACAUCGUGAGGUUAGUGCAAUGGCAUAAGCCCGCUUAACUGCGAGAAUGACGGUUCGAGCAGGUGCGAAAGCAGGUCAUAGUGAUCCGGUGGUUCUGUAUGGAAGGGCCAUCGCUCAACGGAUAAAAGGUACUCCGGGGAUAACAGGCUGAUACCGCCCAAGAGUUCAUAUCGACGGCGGUGUUUGGCACCUCGAUGUCGGCUCAUCACAUCCUGGGGCUGAAGUCGGUCCCAAGGGUAUGGCUGUUCGCCAUUUAAAGUGGUACGCGAGCUGGGUUUAGAACGUCGUGAGACAGUUCGGUCCCUAUCUGCCGUGGGCGUUGGAAGAUUGAAGGGGGCUGCUCCUAGUACGAGAGGACCGGAGUGGACGAACCUCUGGUGUUCGGGUUGUGUCGCCAGACGCAUUGCCCGGUAGCUAAGUUCGGAAUCGAUAACCGCUGAAAGCAUCUAAGCGGGAAGCGAGC
rnacentral:rRNA from 1 species